GUGCAGCAGGCGCGAAAACUUUACAAUGCGGGAAACCGUGAUAAGGGGACACCGAGUGCUAGCAUCAUAUGCUAGCUGUCCAGAUGUGUAAAAUACAUCUGUUAGCAAGGGCCGGGCAAGACCGGUGCCAGCCGCCGCGGUAACACCGGCGGCCCGAGUGGUGAUCGUGAUUAUUGGGUCUAAAGGGUCCGUAGCCGGUUUGGUCAGUCCUCCGGGAAAUCUGAUAGCUCAACUAUUAGGCUUUCGGGGGAUACUGCCAGGCUUGGAACCGGGAGAGGUAAGAGGUACUACAGGGGUAGGAGUGAAAUCUUGUAAUCCCUGUGGGACCACCUGUGGCGAAGGCGUCUUACCAGAACGGGUUCGACGGUGAGGGACGAAAGCUGGGGGCACGAACCGGAUUAGAUACCCGGGUAGUCC
rnacentral:rRNA from 1 species